UACGUAGGUGGCAAGCGUUGUCCGGAAUUAUUGGGCGUAAAGCGCGCGCAGGCGGUCCUUUAAGUCUGAUGUGAAAGCCCACGGCUCAACCGUGGAGGGGCAUUGGAAACUGGGGGACUUGAGUGCAGGAGAGAAGAGUGGAAUUCCACGUGUAGCGGUGAAAUGCGUAGAGAUGUGGAGGAACACCAGUGGCGAAGGCGGCUCUUUGGUCUGUAACUGACGCUGAGGCGCGAAAGCGUGGGGAGCGAACAGG
rnacentral:rRNA from 1 species